UGAAGAGUGUUGAAAUUUUAUUAAAAAUGGACGAUAUUUAAAGUGACGAGCAUUGUAGAGUGUAAGGUCGAAAACUUAGAGUGUCGACUAUUCACAAAGAAUAUGAAAUCUGUCGGUCACACCUGCUAUAGACACUGAUAAACAAGACUUGACACUCUUUGACGUCACGAGCAUAUGAUCGGCACUAUGACUAGCGAUCACAUGCCUUCCCAUUUAUAUAUAUAUUAUAUAUACACUUCUCCUUUCUUUCGGUUUGGUUAGUUUCUUUUACUCCUGUGAGUUUUCUCCUUUCUUCUAUACGACUAUCGAUCAAAUUAGAAAAAAAAUAGAGAGAAAGAAAAAUAAUACAGAGCAAAAAAUAAAGAAAAAGAGAAAGGGUUGGGUGAGGUAAAAAGAGUUGUUAUUUUGAGAUAGCGUGAAGAACUUACGUGGGGUAAGAAGUACUUGUUUUUUUUUUUUCAGUUUAUUAAAUUAUAAUAUAUAUUAUAAUUUUAUGAUAUUCUUUUUUAUUUUAAUUUAAAUUGUAGAUUAUUAAUACAAAAAACAGAUAAAAAAGAAAGAGCUGCACGAGGUACGUAGAAAUUUUUUACGUGAAACUAUUUGUGUAUUUAUUUUAUUUUAUGAUGUUUAUAUUUUUAUUAAUUUUUACUUUAUUUCUAUAUUUCAUUAUAGAUUUUGAUGUGUUGUAUUUGUUAUGUGAUGUUUAUAUUAUUUUGAAUUUUUUUAGUUAAAUAAAUAAAGAAUUUAAACUAGAAUAAACUAUAUAUUAAUUAUUUUUUGCUUAAUACCAUGUAAACUUAUCUUGAUGCAUACGCUGAAAAUUUUUUAUGAUAAAUUUAUAUGUCUAUUUUAUGUAUAUUGUAUUUGUAUAUAUGUAUAUUAUUUUUUGAUGUUUAUAUGUUUCUGUUUUUUUGUUAUUUAAUUUUAAUUCAUAUAUUAUUGUAAUUUUGAUAUGUAUUUUUAUUUAUAUGUGAUGUUUAUAUUAUGUUAAAUUUUUUGACUUAAAUAAAUUAAAAUUUUAAAUCAAAAUAAAAAUGAUAUAUUUAGAAACAUAAAAAAAUAUAUUUCAUUUUAAAUGCAUUUUUUUUAUUUUAGUUUAAUAUUAAUUUUUAUGUUGUAUCAGUUUUUUAAAAAAUCAUUUUAACUACCAAUAGUAUCAAAUGAUAUUUAAAAAAUUUCAUUGAAAUGUUUUUUUUUUUAAAUCAAAUGCCAUAACCUUUUAAUUACUAAACCAAAUCUUACUAAUAUCACGUGCUAGGAAAUAGUUUUAAAGAAUGUAAUAAUAGAGUUGACGUAUUUUUUACUUUUAAAAUAUGUAUAAUAAUUAAACAUGAUAAGUUUGUCAUGUAUCGUUGCUUAUUGGGCUGGAAAUAUAAUUUAGAAUUAAUCAUAUUUUCUAAAAAAUGAUAAGAAGCAGAGAUAGAUUGUUUAUAUAAAAAUUUAUAGAUGAGAAUAGAUAAUACUCCUAUGGCACCGACCGAGACGUAAUAGAAGACAACCGACUAGUGGUACAGAAGAACAGGUCAAUGGUGUAACCUCUCCUCCACAGGAAAUUGCAGUUAAAAUGGAAGACAUCACCAAUCUUAGCGAGAACUUUGCUAGCGGUUUGUUUAGUUUUGUACCCACGUAAUGUUAACUGGGUGGCUCACGAUGUAGCCAAAAGAAAGCCCCAACUCAUUCUCUUGUCAGCCCGUCUAGCUGGCUCAGGAGAAUUAUGGUUGUAUGACUUUUGAUUUAUCAAUUACAUCUAUCUUUUUUCCGUUGAAAAGGGAAAGAAAAAAACAUAUAUCAUCUCAAGAGUCUUAGCGUCCAAAUAUGAAUCUCUAUCGGUUAUUCUGUUACUAUAUUAGGCAAUUGCUCUAUAGAUUCCCCAUUUGGGAAUCUAUACAACAGGACAUCACUAGUAGUUCUCCUUGUGAAAUACAAAUCUAGUUUCUGUUUUGGUUGAGAAUUUGGUGCACAAUCUCUCCAGUUCAUUUCCCAGUGCUGAUGGACCGCAGUAGAAGACCCCUGUGUCAAAAAACUUCGAAAAUAAAUAUAUAAGAACACCCACAAUUAAUUUAUUGAUUAUGAAGAGUCAUUGGUUUUUUUCUAUUAAUUUAUUAAUUAAUAAGUUUCAUUUGUAAUUAAAUACUUUUCUAAUUUUAAAAAAUAACAUAUUAAUAAUAAAUUAGUUUUCUAAUUAGAUAAUAAUUAUUUUAUAAAAUAGCAUAUNNNNNNNNNNNNNNNNNNNNNNNNNNNNNNNNNNNNNNNNNNNNNNNNNNNNNNNNNNNNNNNNNNNNNNNNNNNNNNNNNNNNNNNNNNNNNNNNNNNNNNNNNNNNNNNNNNNNNNNNNNNNNNNNNNNNNNNNNNNNNNNNNNNNNNNNNNNNNUUGUAUAAUAAUUUAUAAUUCUAAUUUUUAUAUUAUUGCACUAAUAAAGUUUUAAGAAGAAAUCAAGGACAUCUAAAAAUAGUUAAUUUGCUAUUAUUUUUUAAAAUAUUAUAAAUUAAUAAUAUGAAAAAAUAAUUAAAUUGUAUCUAUAAAUUUAAUUUUUUAUAAUCAAAAUAAUAAUAAAUAUCAUACACCGUACUAAAUCUCAAAGCUCACUAUUGUUUUUUUUUCUUACUAGCUUUUGAAUAUUGGUUUCACAUCUUAAGCCAUAUAGUUUGGCUGUAAUGGAGAAAAAUAGAAAUAUACUAAAUGAAAUUAUGAAAGGUACAUAAAAUGGUUACCUAUUCGUUCUCCUCUGUGUUUACUUGACAUUUUUGAGAAAAUGCUGAACCAAUUCGGACGGCCAAAUUGCGUGCGUACCUACAGCUCCAUCAUUUAGAUAUUCAGUUAGAGGCGUCAGGCUCAAAGCUCCCUCGUAAAAGGAAACCAAGUAUAAGCAAUUUAGCAUAUUUACAGAAGUGGGAAAAAAACAACAUUUAGUAAUAUAUUUUUACCUGACUCCAAGAUAUGAUGUCAAUGCCUUUCUUAGCAAGAUGCAGUGCUUGUAUGGCACUUAUUAUAGCAGAUCUUGCAUCCCCUUCUUGAUAAACAUUGGUUAAGAAGUAUUGCAUCUCUACGACAGACUGCAAGGAUCACCAGAGGAAAUAAGAUGUAGAUGUACCAUAAGCCAUAGGGAGAGAACAAAAGCAAGGGAAUUAGUAAUGUUAAGUUACCUUCUUUUGGUUAAUUUUGGAUGUUUCCCACAGGACAUCCCUGAACCAGUCGAAAGAGCUUUGUUCUCUUGUAACCCAAUAAAAGUAAGCUUUUAAAGGACCUCUUGAAAUGUUGCAUUCCUCACAAUUGGCCUAUAGCAACUUUUUUCAACACAUAUUUAGAUUGAUAGUUGAGAGAAAACAACAGAUAUUGAAUAAGUGAAACAGUAUAGGAAAAAGUAAGAUAAUUUAGUUUUUUAGCAUUUUCCUUUUUCAUAUGUGAUAAUUUAAGAUAGUAUUUUACUCAUUUUGGCUUCUUUUUUUUAUAUAUAUAUUACUCAGUGCCAUAUUAGCCGAAGAAUGAUACAUGUCAAUAAGUCACCAAUUACUAAUGAUGUAACAAGAAUAUAUCUGAAAAUACUGAUAGAGUAAAUAUAUUUUAAAUUGUUAACAGAAAAAGACACGCGCAGAGUUAUAAAUCUGCAAAACCACAAAUAGUUUAUAUUUAUCUCUAUUAUAUAUAUGGAGAGUAGAGCAUAAGCCAUUGAUUACUUGCCAUUUGGAGAUCAUUUGCGAUGUCUUUAAGAAUGCUAAUGAAAGGUGUGGCUCCAAUGCCAAGCCCAAUUAGCAUGACUAUAUCAUACUUGACAUGAUCUUGGGAAGAAGCACCAUAGGGUCCAUCAAUGUAUAUUUUUGGAUAUUCCUUGCCCCCUGAUAGUGCUGCCUGCAAAACCCCAGAAGAAUCUUGAAAUAGGUCUCAUUCUUCAAGUUGAUAGGCAAUCAAGUAUGUGUGUGUUUUAUUACAGUUAGUUCUUUUACCUCUUGAAAAAGAUAGUAUAUUUUGUAACUCCAAUCUCCAAGAGUUCUAAUAUGCACACUUAAGUGAUCAUCCUCUGGCCCUGAAGUUAAUGAAAAUGGGUGCCUGAAAAAUGAGAGACGGGCAUAUACCUAGAUAAAAGCUUACUUGAUGCAAGAGGGAAAAAAUUAGAGGAAUAUUUUGACUUAUUAGAUGGUAUAUGGGCUAAACAUAUUUGCUGUACAAGCAAAAGAAAGACAAGGUGUUUGGUUAACUUGCUACAAUUUGAUUAUUUGGACUAGUAGUCAAUUAGUAGAGUGCUUUCCUUGUUGCAAUUGAUCAGGGGUUCAAAUUUUACCAUUACAAAUUGUGGAUUCUCUGAGGCAGUACAUAAAAGAAGGAAAUGAUACAAAGAAAAAUAACGAGAAAUGUUGUAUAGUUACCAUUGAAAUGGAGAAAUCUGAGGGCACUGUAGGAAGACAUACAUCCCACUCUUGUGCUUGAAACCUUGUGGUUUGUGCAACUUCAGAGAUAAAACCUUUCCUGGAUAAAUACUAGCCUACUAAUACAGUAACAUGUCCUUAGCUAAAUAAUGUUAACAUUAUUAAUUUUAUAAUCUAGUAAGUUGCAUUUAUCAAUUACCUUCAGAAUUUUUGCAUCAUAAAAUCCUGAUCUUACAGCUCGAGCAACACGUUCUCCGGCAUAUAACAUAACUGGCAAGGCAAUGUACAUCCAGGUCUGCACCAAAAUGUCUCAAUUUUAAUCUCUAUCAAUGCAUCAACCGCAUGGCUUUUCUAUUUUUUAAUUGCAAAUAAGAGAGAAAAACUCGAACUUGAGUCCUUUCAAUUUGACAUAUGCACCAACUGCCAGACUUAGCUUAUGGGUACAUAAACCACAGGACUUAAGUAAUUGCAGUAGUGUGUGAAGUGACUCAACUUAACAUCUAAAUAUGGGUUUAACUGAAAAACCAAACUGAAAUACAUACCGUUUUCUCAGUGACAUUGUCAGUAAGGAAGAGGAACAUGGAGUGAAUAAUGAGCAACACAUAGACAAGAAUGAGC
rnacentral:lncRNA from 1 species